rnacentral:rRNA from 1 species
AUGUCCACCAAUGAGAACCCACAAGCAGAGCAACAAGACAAUGUUGAUGCAGCAAUUAGUUUCGAAGCCAUGAGUGACUUUUUCUGGGACUUCAUGAAUAACCCAGUUGAAGCCCAGAUUGAAGCAGAAAUUCGAGCUCAGAUUGCAGCACAACAGAUAGGUACGUCCAAUGAACACAGAAGACUACCUAGAAGACACCUUGAUAGAGAUAGGCAAGGUGGUGAGGAUAGGCUGAUGGAUGAUUACUUCUCAGAAAAUCCAUUAUACACUGACAAGCAAUUUAGGCGUAGGUUUUGUAUGAGGAAGCAUUUAUUUUUACACAUUGUCCAAACUCUUGGCGAGUGGUCUCCAUUCUUUACUCAGAGGAGUGAUGCAUUUGGCAAGCCUGGCUUUUCUCCCUUGCAGAAAUGCACUGCUGCUAUGCGAGUGCUAGCAUUUGGGACACCUGCUGAUUUGUUUGAUGAUAACUUGAGAAUGGGUGAAACCACAAUCAUCAAGUGCAUGACCACAUUUUGCAAGGGUGUGAUGGAGAAGUUUGGUCCAGAAUAUCUUAGAAGGCCCACUAACGAAGACAUACAACGCUUACUUCAUGUAGGGGAGGCCCGUGGCUUUCCUGGCAUGUUGGGAAGUCUUGAUUGCAUGCACUGGACAUGGAGAAAUUGUCCAGUGGCUUGGAAGGGAAUGUUCACUCGUGGCGAUCAUGGAGUUUCCACAGUCAUGCUCGAAGCUGUAGCCUCACAUGACCUAUGGAUAUGGCAUGCAUUUUUUGGGGUUGCUGGAUCAAGUAAUGAUAUCAAUGUCCUAGACCAAUCAACUUUGUUUACUCAAGUGCUGCAAGGUACAGCUCCAAAGGUUCACUUUGAAGUCAACCACAAUGAGUAUAACUUGGGAUACUACUUAGUAGAUGGCAUUUAUCCGGAAUGGGCGACAUUUGUGAAAUCAAUCCCUAUGGCUCAAAGUGAGAAGCACAAGUUAUAUAAAGCACAUCAAGAAGGAGCAAGGAAAGAUGUAGAGCGGGCUUUUGGUGUUUUGCAAGCUCGUUUUGCUAUAGUUCGUCAUCCAGGGCGUAUGUUGCAAAGGUGUGCUCUUGCUGAGAUCAUGUAUGCUUGCAUUAUAUUGCAUAACAUGAUCGUUGCAGAUGAGAGGCACACCUACAAGUGCUAUGACAAAUAUGACUGUGACUAUGAAUUGCUACAAGGCGCCCAAAUACCAUAUCUUGAAACUGAACAAGGACCAUUUGAUGGGUUUGAUCUGGUUCUUGAGACAGAUGCUGCCAUUCGGGAUCGAUCCACACAUCGUCGUCUCAAGGCUGACUUGGUUGAGAAUAUUUGGCAAAAGUUUGGAGGAAAUGGACAUUAG